rnacentral:lncRNA from 10 species
AGCAAGAAAGCAAGAGAGACAGAAAGCCUGAACAGUGACAGGAACAUGAAAAGCUGCUGGCCCCCGGGAUGGCACAGCCCUUCACCAGGAGGGCCCGUGGACUCCCUGUGAAAGAUGGGAUUAUGGGAGUUCACCUGCGUGAUCUCGCCUUUGCACCUGUUCUGAACACAGGCUCUUCCACUGUGUAUCCUCAGGCUCAUGCUGUUCCAGUCCCAGCUUUGAAGCCAUCCCAGUCUGGACAUCUGGGAGUUCCUUCCUUACCAUCCAAUCCAAAGGGCUUCUCCGCCCUGUGCCCCCUGCUCCGUGGUACUCAUUAGCUUUUUACUCUGCAUGACUUUUCUUCCUAACAUUCAUCAUUGUUUGGCAUGUGAUACUGUUUGGAUCCAUGUCCCCACCGAAAUCUCAUGUCAAAUGUAAUCUUCAAUGUUGGAGGUGGGGCCUGGUGGGAGGGGACUCCAUCAUGGGGGUGGAUCCUUCACGAAUGGUUUAGAACCAUCUGCUUGGUGCUGUUCUCAUGACAGUGAGUGAGUUCUCACAAGAUCCAGUUGUUUAAAAGUGUGUGGCUCCUCCGCCCUGGCUCUCUCUUGCUCCUUUUCCAGCCAUGUGAAGUUCUUACUCUCCCUUUACCUUCUGCCACGAUUGUAAGUUUCCUGAGGCCUCCCCAGAAGCUGGGAAGAUGCCAGCAUCAUGGUUCCAGUACAGUCUAAAGAAUCAUGAUCAAAUUAAAC